AUGAACGCUGGCGGCGUGCUUAACACAUGCAAGUCGAACGAACCUUCGGGUUAGUGGCGGACGGGUGAGUAACGCGUGAGAAUCUGCCCUCAGGAGGGGGAUAACGGUUGGAAACGGCCGCUAAUACCCCAUAUGCCGCGAGGUGAAAUGAAUUUCGCCUGAGGAUGAGCUCGCGUCUGAUUAGCUAGUUGGUGGGGUAAUGGCCUACCAAGGCAUCGAUCAGUAGCUGGUCUGAGAGGAUGAUCAGCCACACUGGGACUGAGACACGGCCCAGACUCCUACGGGAGGCAGCAGUGGGGAAUUUUCCGCAAUGGGCGAAAGCCUGACGGAGCAACGCCGCGUGAGGGAUGAAGGCCUCUGGGCUGUAAACCUCUUUUAUCAAGGAAGAAGAUCUGACGGUACUUGAUGAAUAAGCCACGGCUAAUUCCGUGCCAGCAGCCGCGGUAAUACGGGAGUGGCAAGCGUUAUCCGGAAUUAUUGGGCGUAAAGCGUCCGCAGGCGGCCCUUCAAGUCUGCUGUUAAAACGUGGAGCUUAACUCCAUCAUGGCAGUGGAAACUGUUGGGCUUGAGUGUGGUAGGGGCAGAGGGAAUUCCCGGUGUAGCGGGUGAAAUGCGUAGAUAUCGGGAAGAACACCAGUGGCGAAGGCGCUCUGCUGGGCCAUCACUGACGCUCAUGGACGAAAGCCAGGGGAGCGAAAGGGAUUAGAUACCCCUGUAGUCCUGGCCGUAAACGAUGAACACUAGGUGUCGGGGGAAUCGACCCCCUCGGUGUCGUAGCCAACGCGUUAAGUGUUCCGCCUGGGGAGUACGCACGCAAGUGUGAAACUCAAAGGAAUUGACGGGGGCCCGCACAAGCGGUGGAGUAUGUGGUUUAAUUCGAUGCAACGCGAAGAACCUUACCAGGGUUUGACAUCCUGCGAAUCUCUUGGAAACGAGAGAGUGCCUUCGGGAACGCAGUGACAGGUGGUGCAUGGCUGUCGUCAGCUCGUGUCGUGAGAUGUUGGGUUAAGUCCCGCAACGAGCGCAACCCACGUCUUUAGUUGCCAGCAUUCAGUUGGGCACUCUAGAGAGACCGCCGGUGAUAAACCGGAGGAAGGUGUGGAUGACGUCAAGUCAUCAUGCCCCUUACAUCCUGGGCUACACACGUACUACAAUGCUACGGACAAAGGGCAGCAAGUUCGCGAGGACAAGCAAAUCCCAUAAACCGUGGCUCAGUUCAGAUCGUAGGCUGCAACUCGCCUACGUGAAGGAGGAAUCGCUAGUAAUCGCAGGUCAGCAUACUGCGGUGAAUACGUUCCCGGGCCUUGUACACACCGCCCGUCACACCAUGGAAGUUGGCCACGCCCGAAGCCGUUACUCCAACCCUUGUGGAGGAGGACGUCGAAGGUGGGGCUGAUGACUGGGGUGA
rnacentral:rRNA from 1 species